AGAAGUACAGAUUGAUGAGUUCAAGCUGGAAAUGAUCGCCGCAAAAAAACACGCACCGCGUUUUGCGGCCAAGUGUAUGACUGCAAUUUGAGCGGAAUAUGUUUGGGUUUCCGUGGCAUCCCCUCAUCGUUUGGUCUCUUGUCUCAGCCGUUAUCAAUACAGCCGCGGCGGCACGCAUACGUGUGUGUCGUCAGUGGAUAUAUGGAAUUAUGGAUGCACUGCGCGCCGUACCGGAUUUGUGUAUGAUCUGGAUUGUUGAGCGCUUUCCGGUUGAUGCGCACUGAUUCCCGUCUUCUGUUGAUACAAUAUGGUUUCUCUUGUUGGUUCGGAUAUGAAGUGUGUGCUGAUUAAUUCAAGGCCGAUUGUCCACGCUAUGUGCCGGCUGGAUGAACCGGUUUCAAUUGUGAUGGAUUCAGAAUGGGUUGCUAAUCGUUCGCUUAUCACAAUACAACAGCUGCUGCGAAUGAAGCCAAUAUUUUCGGAUACAGGCGCGUAGAUGCCUGCCCGGUUGUGCCGCACGCUUCCGAAUCCUGAUUAUGUUAGCCGGGAUUGACUUUGCACGGAAGUGUUUAUCUUUGCUAACUAUUGAUGUAGCCUGACAGUGUGUAAAGUUCGCCACUGUGCAGUUCGAAUUAAAUUCUCCAGAACAAAUGUUAUUCUUGGAUUACAGCUACUUAAGACAAGCAAAAGCGGGAUGCAGCAGGGAAGGCAAGGAAUUUUUUCCGAAUCCCAUGAAGAUUUGUACGUAGCAAGAGAUAGGCAGCAGAGCGUAAAGCGAUACCGAACAUGAUCAACUGGACGCAAUCUGUGGCUAAACUAUCGCCGGUAAAUCCCAGAUGGUUGAUAAUAUCGUCACCCGUUCGGAAGAUAUCCGCUUGCAAUGUGCAGUUCAUGCACGAUGGCAGAUCCACGCCGUGCCACUGAUUCACUAAUGACGCUUUCAAUGCGUAAUGGAAAAACGAUGCAUACUGCAAGAAGAUUAUUGUGAUACACCUCAUAUAAUUUUCUGACAAAACCUUUUUCGAAAACUUUCCGAAAGAACAUGGAUUCCUCAACUCUGCCAAAACUUUGGUGUGUUGUAAGCACUUUUGAUUAAAAUUUAAGUAUAUACUCGUAUCCAAAUAACCUUUCUCACCGAAAAACGUUUAGCCACCAAGGAAGGGAUUUGGGAUUGAGGAAGAAGCCGCCAAUAGCAAUGUUGCAUACGACAAAGGCCGCCCAGAUCAGCAUGGCGGUACUAAAUCGUCCACUCGCAAUCGCGGCACAUUGCGCUAUUCCCAAGCUGACUUGACAUGUGAGAAAAGCAAUGCACCAAGCCAAGAAAAAACCAACUGCUGACGGAUGUAAUCCAAUUAGCCAGUAACAAAUUGUUAAUAAUAAACCGGACAUUGCGAGAUUAUGGAGAAUGUCAAUUAGCCAGGCGCUCACGAACCACAUCCAUGCCACGUACACACCACCGACAAUCUCUCGUCGUAUUACCGCUAAAUUUUGCGUUAGACAUUUGGAAAUUCCAUA